rnacentral:rRNA from 1 species
GACGAACGCUGGCGGCGUGCUUAACACAUGCAAGUCGAACGCUGAACCCGCUUCGGUGGGGGAUGAGUGGCGAACGGGUGAGUAACACGUGGGCAACCUGCCCCCUGCUCUUGGAUAACUCCAAGAAAUUGGGGCUAAUACCGGAUGUGACCGCUGGCCGCAUGGUCUGGUGGUGGGAAGGGUUUCCGGCUGGGGAUGGGCCCGCGGCCUAUCAGCUUGUUGGUGGGGUAGUGGCCUACCAAGGCGACGACCGGUAGCCGGCCUGAGAGGGUGACCGGCCACACUGGGACUGAGACAAGGCCCAGACGCCGACGGGAGGCAGCAGUGGGGAAUAUUGCGCAAGGGGCGGAAGCCUGACGCAGCGACGCCGCGUGGGGGAUGACGGCCUUCGGGUUGUAAACCUCUUUCAGCAGGGACGAAGCGCAAGUGACGGUACCUGAAGAAGAAGCACCGGCCAACUACGUG